rnacentral:rRNA from 1 species
UACGUAGGGUGCAAGCGUUGUCCGGAAUCAUUGGGCGUAAAGCGCGCGUAGGUGGCUUCGUAAGUCCGUUGUGAAAGUCAAAGGCUCAACCUUGGAAUGCCGAUGGAUACUGCGAAGCUAGAGUACGGAAGAGGUGAGUGGAAUUCCUGGUGUAGCGGUGGAAUGCGCAGAUAUCAGGAGGAACACCAAUAGCGAAGGCGGCUCUCUGGGACGGUACUGACGCUGAGACGCGAAAGCGUGGGGAGCGAACAGG